GACGAACGCUGGCGGCGUGCUUAACACAUGCAAGUCGAACGGAAAGGCCCUGCUUUUGUGGGGUGCUCGAGUGGCGAACGGGUGAGUAACACGUGAGUAACCUGCCCUUGACUUUGGGAUAACUUCAGGAAACUGGGGCUAAUACCGGAUAGGAGCUCCUGCUGCAUGGUGGGGGUUGGAAAGUUUCGGCGGUUGGGGAUGGACUCGCGGCUUAUCAGCUUGUUGGUGGGGUAGUGGCUUACCAAGGCUUUGACGGGUAGCCGGCCUGAGAGGGUGACCGGCCACAUUGGGACUGAGAUACGGCCCAGGCUCCUACGGGAGGCAGCAGUGGGGGAUAUUGCACAAUGGGCGGAAGCCUGAUGCAGCAACGCCGCGUGCGGGAUGACGGCCUUCGGGUUGUAAACCGCUUUCGCCUGUGACGAAGCGUGAGUGACGGUAAUGGGUAAAGAAGCACCGGCUAACUACGUG
rnacentral:rRNA from 1 species